rnacentral:rRNA from 1 species
AAAUUGAAGAGUUUGAUCAUGGCUCAGAUUGAACGCUGGCGGCAGGCCUAACACAUGCAAGUCGAACGGUAACAGGAAGCAGCUUGCUGCUUCGCUGACGAGUGGCGGACGGGUGAGUAAUGUCUGGGAAACUGCCUGAUGGAGGGGGAUAACUACUGGAAACGGUGGCUAAUACCGCAUAACGUCGCAAGACCAAAGAGGGGGACCUUCGGGCCUCUUGCCAUCAGAUGUGCCCAGAUGGGAUUAGCUUGUUGGUGAGGUAACGGCUCACCAAGGCGACGAUCCCCAGCUGGUCUGAGAGGAUGACCAGCCACACUGGAACUGAGACACGGUCCAGACUCCUACGGGAGGCAGCAGUGGGGAAUAUUGCACAAUGGGCGCAAGCCUGAUGCAGCCAUGCCGCGUGUAUGAAGAAGGCCUUCGGGUUGUAAAGUACUUUCAGCGGGGAGGAAGGUGUUGUGGUUAAUAACCGCAGCAAUUGACGUUACCCGCAGAAGAAGCACCGGCUAACUCCGUGCCAGCAGCCGCGGUAAUACGGAGGGUGCAAGCGUUAAUCGGAAUUACUGGGCGUAAAGCGCACGCAGGCGGUCUGUCAAGUCGGAUGUGAAAUCCCCGGGCUCAACUAGUCCACGCCGUAAACGAUGUCUACUUGGAGGUUGUGCCCUUGAGGCGUGGCUUCCGGAGCUAACGCGUUAAGUAGACCGCCUGGGGAGUACGGCCGCAAGGUUAAAACUCAAAUGAAUUGACGGGGGCCCGCACAAGCGGUGGAGCAUGUGGUUUAAUUCGAUGCAACGCGAAGAACCUUACCUGGUCUUGACAUCCACAGAACUUUCCAGAGAUGGAUUGGUGCCUUCGGGAACUGUGAGACAGGUGCUGCAUGGCUGUCGUCAGCUCGUGUUGUGAAAUGUUGGGUUAAGUCCCGCAACGAGCGCAACCCUUAUCCUUUGUUGCCAGCGGUUAGGCCGGGAACUCAAAGGAGACUGCCAGUGAUAAACUGGAGGAAGGUGGGGAUGACGUCAAGUCAUCAUGGCCCUUACGACCGGGCUACACACGUGCUACAAUGGCGCAUACAAAGAGAAGCGACCUCGCGAGAGCAAGCGGACCUCAUAAAGUGCGUCGUAGUCCGGAUUGGAGUCUGCAACUCGACUCCAUGAAGUCGGAAUCGCUAGUAAUCGUGGAUCAGAAUGCCACGGUGAAUACGUUCCCGGGCCUUGUACACACCGCCCGUCACACCAUGGGAGUGGGUUGCAAAAGAAGUAGGUAGCUUAACCUUCGGGAGGGCGCUUACCACUUUGUGAUUCAUGACUGGGGUGAAGUCGUAACAAGGUAACCGUAGGGGAACCUGCGGUUGGAUCACCUCCUUACCUUAAAGAAGC